rnacentral:rRNA from 1 species
UACGUAGGGUGCUAGCGUUGUUCGGAAUUACUGGGCGUAAAGGGCUCGUAGGCGGCCAACUAAGUCAGACGUGAAAUCCCUCGGCUUAACCGGGGAACUGCGUCUGAUACUGGAUGGCUUGAGUUUGGGAGAGGGAUGCGGAAUUCCAGGUGUAGCGGUGAAAUGCGUAGAUAUCUGGAGGAACACCGGUGGCGAAGGCGGCAUCCUGGACCAACACUGACGCUGAGUGAGCGAAAGCCAGGGGAGCAAACGGG